rnacentral:rRNA from 1 species
GAGAUUAUCCACUGAGUAGUGGAGGAAUGAAAACAUAUCAAGAUUGCCCUAAUAACAACAAAUGAAUAAGGAAGAGCCCAACUUAAGAAUCAGGCAUCCUCAGCAUCCAAAUUGUAGUUUGGAGAAGCAUCCUUAGUGGUGGACUGAGCCCAAGUCCAUAAAAAGGGGUGUCAGAAAGGGUAAGAGCCCCAUUAUGCUUGGACCCUGUUGCACCAUGAUGGGCUAUCUAUGAGUCAGAUUAUUUGGCAAUACAACACCAAUGGAGUGGUAAAUUCCAUCCAAGGCUGAAUACAGGCGAGAGAUUAAUAGCAAACAAGAUGAAAAGACUUUGAAAAAAAAGUUAAAGAGUGCUUAACAUUGUCAGGAAGGAAGUGAAUGGGGGCCGACGAUGCACUUUGGUUAGAUGUGGAAUUAUGAAAGUUGGUACAUCAAUCGACUCAAGGCAUGGACUGACAUGGAUUGCAAUGAUGGCCUAAGCCUAGGCUUUCAAUAUGCCAACGAAGACGUCAUCGCUAUGAUCAUGGAACACAGUAUGUGCUAUCUUGACAUGCCUUGGCACCCACGUGCUCUUGAUGUCAGCCUAUAGGCUCUUUAUCUAGCUCAUCUCGAAAUAUAGACCAAAAAGUCUAACAUGUGUUCUAUUCAAUAGGCUAGAAAAACCAUAAGGCAUAAUGAAGCUGAUUGGUGGGAUCUCUCAUAAGUGCACCACCAACCAAAUCUUUUGAGAAGGGUUUGAGUGUGAGCAUGCUUGUCGAGACCUAAAAGAUGGUGAACUAUGCCUGAGCUAGGCGAAGCCAAAAGAAAACUCUGGUGGAGGCCUAUAGUGAUACUGACAUGCAAAUUAUUCAUCUAACUUGUGUAUAGGGAUGGAAGACUAAUCUAAUCAUCUAGUAGCUGGUUUUCUUUAAAGUUUCCCUUAAAAUAGCUAGAGCCCUUAGCCAGUUCUAUCAAGUUAUGCCAAUGAUUAAAGGCAUCUACGGCAUAAUGCUCUUGACCUAUUCUCAAACUUUAAAGAGGUAGGAUGGUGUGACUGCUUCAUUGAGUUAUGCCAUGGAAUCGAGAGCUCUAAGUAGGCCAUUUUGUGUAAGUAGAACUAGUUAUGUAGGAUGAUCUAGAAGCUGUGUUAUAGUGCCUAACUGUGCGCUAACCUAGAACCCACAAAAGGGUGUUGGUUGAUUAAGACAGUAAGACAGUGAUCAUGGAAGUCAAAAUCAACUAAAAAGUGUUUAACAACUCACUUGCCAAAUCAACUAGCCUUGAAAAUGGAUGGUGCUUAAACACACGACCUAUACUCGAUUGUCAGGGCAAGGGCAUGGCCUCGAUAAGUAGGAGGGUACCACAAUUGCUGCAAAACUCGAGCAUGAGCCUAGGCGAAGUGGUCAUUAGUUCAAAUCUUGGUGGUAGUAGCAAAUAUUCAAAUGAGAACUUUGAAGGCCAAAGAGGGGAAAAGUUCCAUGUGAAUGGCACUUACACAUGGAUUAGUUGAUCUUUAGAGACGGGGGAAGCCCGUCUAAUAGCGCAUCCAAUGCGAGCUUCGAAAAAGAAUUAGGUUAAAAUUCUUGAAUUGGGAUGUGACGGUUGAUAGCAAUGUUAAGGAGUCUGGAGAAAUUGGUAGAGGCCUCAAGAAGAGUUAUCUUUUCUAUUUAAUAACCUACCCGCAUUGGAAAUAGCUCAGAUGGAGGUAAGGUCCAGUGGCCAAAAGAGCACUGCAUGUCAUGUAGUGCCUUGUGUGCAUUUAGUGGCCUUUGAAAUCCAAAGGACCAAGUAUCAUCCAUGCCUAAUCAUACAUAUAACUGCAUCAGGUCUCCAAGGUGAAUAGCCUCUAGUCAAUGGAAUAAUGUAGGUGAAGGAAGUUGACAAAAUGGAUUUGUAAUCUCGAGAAAAAAUUGGCUUUGAGGGCUGGGCACAGGGGUUCUAGUCCUAAACCCAUCAACUAUCAAUGCACUGUUUGAGCUACUCCUGCGAUGAGAGUGGGACACCAUGUGCCGACCAAGGGAUAGGUGGGAAUGGUUCCUUCGAGGGCCUUCCUUAGGUGAUGAACAGUCAACUCAGAAUAAUACAGACAAGGGGUAUAUAACUAUUUAAUUAAAACAAAGCAUUGUAAUGGUCCCUAUGAAUGCUUAUGUAAUGUGAUUUUUUCCCAAUGCUCUAAAUGUCAAAGUGAAGAAAUUCAACCGAGCACGGAUAAAUGGCGAGAGUAACUAUGACUAUUUCAAAGUAGCUAAAUGCCUCAUCAUCUAACUAGUGAUGCACAUGAAUGGAUUAAUAAGAUUCUUAUUAUCCCCGUCUAUUAUCUAGUGAAACCACAACCAAGGGAACGGGCUUGGUAGAAUCAGCAGGGAAAAAAGACCUUGUUGAGCUCGACUCUAUUCCAACUUUGUGAAAUGACUUGAGAGGUGCAGGAUAAGUGGGAGCCCUUUGGUAAAAUUGAAAUACCAUUAUUUUUUAAUGUUAUUUUACUUAUUCUAUGAAUUGAAAAUUGGGCAUAACCUAUUCUUUUGGACCCAAGGUCAGCCUUGGUUGGUUGAUCCUGGUGGAAGACUUUGUUAAGUGGGGAGAUUGGUAAGGACAACACAUCUGUUAAAAGAUAAUACAAGUGUCUUAAGAUGAGUUUGAUGAGAAUAAGAAUCUCGUGUGGAAGAAAAAGGUAAAAGCUCAUUUGAUUUUGAUUUCCAGUAUGAAUAUGAACUAUGAAAGCAUGGACUAUCAAUCCUUCAGACCUUUAAAAUUUGAAGCUAUAUGUGUCAAAAAAGUUGCCACAGGGAUAAUUGGCUUGUGGCAGCCAAGCGUUCAUAGCAAUGUUACUUUUUGAUCCUUCGAUGUUAGCUUUUCCUAUCAUUUGAAGUAAAAUUCACUAAGUGUUAUAUUGUUCAACCACCAAUAGGAGCAUGAGCUGGGUUUAAAUAAUCAUAAAAUAAGUUAGUUUUACCCUACUAACCUAGUACAAAAGGAACCAUUGAUUCACAUAGUUCAUCAUUAUGCUUGGUUGAAAAGCUAGUGGUGUGAAGCUACCAUUCAUUGGAUUAUGACUAAAUGCCUUUAAGUUAGAAUUUGGGCUAAAAAUGAUGCAUGCACCUAUUGCCCUAUUAUUGACUUACAAUAAGGGCCCAUGGCCCUUAAGGGCAUAUUUUAUAGGUGUUGCCCUUAUGGCAGACAAGUCAUGCAGGCAUUCUUUGAGCUUAAUUCCUACUAAG